GAGAGAUGGCACAAUGGUUAAGAGCACUGGCUGUUUUUCCAGAGGACCUGGGUUCAAUUCCCAGAGCCCUCA
rnacentral:tRNA from 1 species